UUUUUUUUUGGUGACAAAAAGUAACAAGUAACCACGUGACAGCGUUGUUUGCGUGUUUGUUUGAAAAUGACGGGCUCCGAGACUGGAUUUGCUGCUCUUUACACGAAACGUACAGUCGUGCAACAUUAAAUUGCUAUAUGUGUUACACUAAUCAUUGAUCCAGACGAAUGUGGAGUGAUUGGAGAUGGAAAACACAUCAGAGACAGAUCUAGAGCCGUUAAAGCUGAAAUCUUUAAAAACCGACAAGACGUUUGUAAUACCGCACAGAGAACGGUUAGGGAAAUGCAGGAGUGUGAAGGAGUUUGAGAAGAUGAACCGGAUUGGAGAGAGAACUUAUGGAA